rfam:Pelodiscus sinensis unplaced genomic scaffold scaffold1693, whole genome shotgun sequence.
AAGACUGUACUUUUAGGGAUCAUUUCUAUAGUUGGUAAGUAGAGAAAUACAGCUGAAAGUGGUUGGUCUUGCUAACCAUGGGGAUGAGUGACAGUGUUCUCUUCUGAACUUGAAACAAGCAGAUAGUGUUGCUGUACUGUAAUUGCUGUCUGCUAUGGAUGAUUGUUCCUUCUUUCCUGUUAGGAAGCUGAAGGAAGGGAGCACAGGCAGAGUGGU